ACUCAAAUGAAUUGACGGGGACCCGCACAAGCGGUGGAGUAUGUGGCUUAAUUCGAUGCAACGCGAAGAACCUUACCUGGAUUUGACAUGCAUUGUGUCUCCGGUGAAAGCCGGAUAGUGUUGAAAUAUACACGCUUUGCACAGGUGCUGCAUGGCUGUCGUCAGCUCGUGUCGUGAGAUGUUGGGUUAAGUCCCGCAACGAGCGCAACCCUCGUGGUUUGUUGCCACCGGAGCAAUCCGCGCACUCAAACCAUACUGCCCAGAUUAACUGGGAGGAAGGCGAGGAUGACGUCAAGUCAGUAUGGCCCUUACAUCCAGGGCUGCACACGUACUACAAUGCCCAACACAAAUAGAUCCUAGGCUGCAAAGCGGAGGAAAUCUCAAAAAAUUGGGCUCAGUUCAGAUUGCAGGCUGCAACUCGCCUGCAUGAAGUAGGAAUCGCUAGUAAUGAUGCAUCAGCUACGGCAUCGUGAAUACGUUCCCGGGUCUUGUACACACCGCCCGU
rnacentral:rRNA from 1 species